rnacentral:rRNA from 1 species
AUUGAACGCUGGCGGCAUGCCUUACACAUGCAAGUCGAACGGCAGCACGGGAGCAAUCCUGGUGGCGAGUGGCGAACGGGUGAGUAAUAUAUCGGAACGUGCCCAGUAGUGGGGGAUAGCCCGGCGAAAGCCGGAUUAAUACCGCAUACGACCUACGGGUGAAAGCGGGGAUCGCAAGACCUCGCGCUAUUGGAGCGGCCGAUAUCAGAUUAGCUAGUUGGCGGGGUAAAAGCCCACCAAGGCGACGAUCUGUAGCUGGUCUGAGAGGACGACCAGCCACACUGGGACUGAGACACGGCCCAGACUCCUACGGGAGGCAGCAGUGAGGAAUCUUGCGCAAUGGGCGAAAGCCUGACGCAGCGACGCCGCGUGGAGGACGAAGGUCUUCGGAUCGUAAACUCCUGUCAAGUGGGAA